UACGUAGGGUGCAAGCGUUGUCCGGAAUUAUUGGGCGUAAAGAGCUCGUAGGUGGCCUGUCGCGUCGGCUGUGAAAACUCGGGGCUCAACUCCGAGCUUGCAGUCGAUACGGGCAGGCUAGAGUUCGGCAGGGGAGGACUGGAAUUCCUGGUGUAGCGGUGAAAUGCGCAGAUAUCAGGAGGAACACCGGUGGCGAAGGCGGGUCUCUGGGCCGAUACUGACACUGAGGAGCGAAAGCGUGGGGAGCGAACAGG
rnacentral:rRNA from 1 species